rnacentral:rRNA from 1 species
UGGGGAAUAUUGCACAAUGGGCGCAAGCCUGAUGCAGCCAUGCCGCGUGUGUGAAGAAGGCCUUCGGGUUGUAAAGCACUUUCAGCGAGGAGGAAGGUGGUGGACUUAAUACGUUCAUCAAUUGACGUUACUCGCAGAAGAAGCACCGGCUAACUCCGUGCCAGCAGCCGCGGUAAUACGGAGGGUGCAAGCGUUAAUCGGAAUUACUGGGCGUAAAGCGCACGCAGGCGGUUUGUUAAGUCAGAUGUGAAAUCCCCGGGCUCAACCUGGGAACUGCAUUUGAAACUGGCAAGCUAGAGUCUCGUAGAGGGGGGUAGAAUUCCAGGUGUAGCGGUGAAAUGCGUAGAGAUCUGGAGGAAUACCGGUGGCGAAGGCGGCCCCCCUGGACGAAGACUGACGCUCAGGUGCGAAAGCGUGGGGCAGCAAACAGGAUUAGAUACCCUGGUAGUCCACGCUGUAAACGAUGUCGAUUUUGGAGGUUGUGCCCUUGAGGCGUGGCUUCCGGAGCUAACGCGUUAAAUCGACCG